rnacentral:rRNA from 1 species
UACGGGGGGGGCAAGCGUUGUUCGGAAUUACUGGGCGUAAAGGGCUCGUAGGCGGCCAACUAAGUCAGACGUGAAAUCCCCAGGCUCAACCUGGGAACUGCGUCUGAUACUGGAUGGCUUGAAUCCGGGAGAGGGAUGCAGAAUUCCAGGUGUAGCGGUGAAAUGCGUAGAUAUCGGAAGGAACGCCGGUGGCGAAAGCGACGUGCUGGAUCUCUUCUGACGCUGAGGCGCGAAAGCCAGGGGAGCAAACGGG